UACGGAGGGUGCGAGCGUUGUCCGGAAUUAUUGGGUUUAAAGGGUGCGUAGGCGGUCUAAUAAGUCAGAGCUGAAAUCCCAGGGCUUAACCCUGGAACUGGCUUUGAUACUGUUAGACUUGAAUAUACUAGAAGUAGGCGGAAUUUAUGAUGUAGCGGUGAAAUGCAUAGAUAUCAUAAAGAACACCGAUAGCGAAGGCAGCUUACUGGAGUAUUAUUGACGCUGAGGCACGAAAGCGUGGGUAGCGAACAGG
rnacentral:rRNA from 1 species